GACGAACGCUGGCGGCGUGCUUAACACAUGCAAGUCGAACGAAGUGGCGAACGGGUGAGUAACGCGUAAUCAAACUGCCCUUCAGAGGGGGACAACAGGUGGAAACGAAUGCUAAUACCGCAUACUGAAGGAGGGGAGUGGGACGGAUUAGCUAGUGGGAGGGGUAACGGCCCACCAAGGCGAUGAUCAGUAGCCGGUCUGAGAGUAUUAACGGCCCCAUUUGGACUGGGACACGGCCCAGACUCCUACGGGAGGCAGCAGUAGGGAAUCUUCGGCAAUGGACGACAGUCUGACCGAGCAACGCCGCGUGAGUGAUGACGGCCUUCGGGUUGUAAAGCUCUGUUAAUCGGGACGCGGUACCGGAAUAGAAAGCCACGGCUAACUACGUGCCAGCAGCCGCGGUAAUAC
rnacentral:rRNA from 1 species